AUUAGACGAAUCAUCUGGAAAGAUGAAUCAAAGAAGGUAAUAAUCCUGUAGUCGAAAAUGUUGUCUCUCUUGAGUGGAUCCUGAGUACGACGGAGCACGUGAAAUUCCGUCGGAAUCUGGGAGGACCAUCUCCUAAGGCUAAAUACUCUCUAGUGACCGAUAGUGAACCAGUACCGUGAGGGAAAGGUGAAAAGCACCCCGGAAGGGGAGUGAAAUAGAACCUGAAACCGUGUGCUUACAAGUAGUCAGAGCCCGUUAAUGGGUGAUGGCGUGCCUUUUGUAGAAUGAACCGGCGAGUUACGAUUUGAUGCAAGGUUAAGCAGUAAAUGUGGAGCCGUAGCGAAAGCGAGUCUGAAUAGGGCGUUUAGUAUUUGGUCGUAGACCCGAAACCAGGUGAUCUACCCUUGGUCAGGUUGAAGUUCAGGUAACACUGAAUGGAGGACCGAACCGACUUACGUUGAAAAGUGAGCGGAUGAACUGAGGGUAGCGGAGAAAUUCCAAUCGAACCUGGAGAUAGCUGGUUCUCUCCGAAAUAGCUUUAGGGCUAGCCUCAAGUGAUGAUUAUUGGAGGUAGAGCACUGUUUGGACGAGGGGCCCCUCUCGGGUUACCGAAUUCAGACAAACUCCGAAUGCCAAUUAAUUUAACUUGGGAGUCAGAACAUGGGUGAUAAGGUCCGUGUUCGAAAGGGAAACAGCCCAGACCACCAGCUAAGGUCCCAAAAUAUAUGUUAAGUGGAAAAGGAUGUGGCGUUGCCCAGACAACUAGGAUGUUGGCUUAGAAGCAGCCAUCAUUUAAAGAGUGCGUAAUAGCUCACUAGUCGAGUGACACUGCGCCGAAAAUGUACCGGGGCUAAACAUAUUACCGAAGCUGUGGAUUGUCCUUUGGACAAUGGUAGGAGAGCGUUCUAAGGGCGUUGAAGCAUGAUCGUAAGGACAUGUGGAGCGCUUAGAAGUGAGAAUGCCGGUGUGAGUAGCGAAAGACGGGUGAGAAUCCCGUCCACCGAUUGACUAAGGUUUCCAGAGGAAGGCUCGUCCGCUCUGGGUUAGUCGGGUCCUAAGCUGAGGCCGACAGGCGUAGGCGAUGGAUAACAGGUUGAUAUUCCUGUACCACCUAUAAUCGUUUUAAUCGAUGGGGGGACGCAGUAGGAUAGGCGAAGCGUGCGAUUGGAUUGCACGUCUAAGCAGUAAGGCUGAGUAUUAGGCAAAUCCGGUACUCGUUAAGGCUGAGCUGUGAUGGGGAGAAGACAUUGUGUCUUCGAGUCGUUGAUUUCACACUGCCGAGAAAAGCCUCUAGAUAGAAAAUAGGUGCCCGUACCGCAAACCGACACAGGUAGUCAAGAUGAGAAUUCUAAGGUGAGCGAGCGAACUCUCGUUAAGGAACUCGGCAAAAUGACCCCGUAACUUCGGGAGAAGGGGUGCUCUUUAGGGUUAACGCCCAGAAGAGCCGCAGUGAAUAGGCCCAAGCGA
rnacentral:rRNA from 1 species